AACGAACGCUGGCGGCAGGCUUAACACAUGCAAGUCGAACGCCCCGCAAGGGGAGUGGCAGACGGGUGAGUAACACGUGGGAAUCUACCCAUCUCUGCGGAAUAGCUCCGGGAAACUGGAAUUAAUACCGCAUACGCCCUACGGGGGAAAGAUUUAUCGGGGAUGGAUGAGCCCGCGUUGGAUUAGCUAGUUGGUGGGGUAAAGGCCUACCAAGGCGACGAUCCAUAGCUGGUCUGAGAGGAUGAUCAGCCACAUUGAGACUGAGACACGGCCCAAACUCCUACGGGAGGCAGCAGUGGGGAAUAUUGGACAAUGGGCGCAAGCCUGAUCCAGCCAUGCCGCGUGAGUGAUGAAGGCCUUAGGGUUGUAAAGCUCUUUCACCGGUGAAGAUAAUGACGGUAACCGGAGAAGAAGCCCCGGCUAACUUCGUGCCAGCAGCCGCAGUAA
rnacentral:rRNA from 1 species